rnacentral:lncRNA from 1 species
GAAAAAUAUGUAUCAUUUUAUCUAGAAAUAUGUAUUGGGACGUCGAAUGAAUAUUUUGCUAGAUAUAUAUUAAUUGACUAUAUACUGUGUAUUGAUAGAUAUUAAGUUUGGUAAACUAUAUAUUAAUUUACUUAUAAGUAUGUAUUGGAUCGUUGGUAGGUGUGUAUCAAAAAAAAUUAUAGUAUGUAUCAAUAAGUCGUCUAGUGUUUAUCAUUUUCUCAUGUGCUAUGUACUGAUGAACGUUAUAUUCUGAAAAUUAUAUAUCGCUUUAUCUAGAGAUGUAUAUUGGGACGUCGGAUGAAUAGUUUGGUAGAUAUGUGUCAACUAGUCAUAUACUGUAUACUGAUGAAUAUUAAGUUCGGUAAAUUAUAUAUCAGUUUAGUUAUAGUUGUGUAUUGAUGAUCAUUGCUAGAUAUGUAUAAAAAAAAGCUUACGAUAUGUAUAUCUGGCUAUAUAUUUAGUACGUAUCAUAUAGUCAUAUGAUAUGUAUUAUUAAAAGGCAUAUGCUGAAAAUGAGGAA